rnacentral:rRNA from 1 species
AUUGAACGCUGGCGGCAGGCCUAACACAUGCAAGUCGAGCGGAUGACGGGAGCUUGCUCCUUGAUUCAGCGGCGGACGGGUGAGUAAUGCCUAGGAAUCUGCCUGGUAGUGGGGGACAACGUUUCGAAAGGAACGCUAAUACCGCAUACGUCCUACGGGAGAAAGCAGGGGACCUUCGGGCCUUGCGCUAUCAGAUGAGCCUAGGUCGGAUUAGCUAGUUGGUGGGGUAAUGGCUCACCAAGGCGACGAUCCGUAACUGGUCUGAGAGGAUGAUCAGUCACACUGGAACUGAGACACGGUCCAGACUCCUACGGGAGGCAGCAGUGGGGAAUAUUGGACAAGGGGCGAAAGCCUGAUCCAGCCAUGCCGCGUGUGUGAAGAAGGUCUUCGGAUUGUAAAGCACUUUAAGUUGGGAGGAGGGGCAGUAAGUUAAUACCUUGCUGUUUUGACGUUACCGACAGAAUAAGCACCGGCUAACUCUGUGCCAGCAGCCGCCGUAA